rnacentral:rRNA from 1 species
GACGAACCGUGCGAACGUUGUUCGGAAUCACUGGGCUUAAAGGGUGCGUAGGCGGACAGGUAAGUCAGUGGUGAAAUCUCUGGGCUUAACCCAGAAACUGCCGUUGAUACUAUUGUCUUGAAUAUCCUGGAGGUAGGCGGAAUAUGUCAUGUAGCGGUGAAAUGCUUAGAUAUGACAUAGAACACCGAUAGCGAAGGCAGCUUACUACGCCUAUAUUGACGCUGAGGCACGGAAAGCGUGGGAUCAAACCAGG